rnacentral:rRNA from 1 species
CUACGGGCGGCUGCAGUGGGGAAUAUUGCACAAUGGAGGGAACUCUGAUGCAGCAACGCCGCGUGGAGGAUGACGCAUUUCGGUGUGUAAACUCCUUUUAUAUAGGAAGAUAAUGACGGUACUAUAUGAAUAAGCACCGGCUAACUCCGUGCCAGCAGCCGCGGUAAUACGGAGGGUGCAAGCGUUACUCGGAAUCACUGGGCGUAAAGCGCAUGCAGGCGGUUAAAUAAGUUGGAAGUGAAAUCCUAUGGCUCAACCAUAGAACUGCUUCCAAAACUGUUUAACUAGAGUCUGGGAGGGGAAGAUGGAAUUAGUAGUGUAGGGGUAAAAUCCGUAGAGAUUACUAGGAAUACCAAAAGCGAAGGCGAUCUUCUGGAACAGUACUGACGCUGAGAUGCGAAAGCGUGGGGAGCAAACAGGAUUAGAUACCCCGGUAGUC